CUACGGGAGGCAGCAGUGGGGAAUAUUGCACAAUGGGCGCAAGCCUGAUGCAGCAACGCCGCGUGAACGAAGAAGGCUUUCGGGUCGUAAAGUUCUUUUCUUGGGGAAGAAAAAAUGACGGUACCCAAGGAAUAAGCACCGGCUAACUACGUGCCAGCAGCCGCGGUAAUACGUAGGGUGCAAGCGUUAUCCGGAAUCACUGGGCGUAAAGGGUGCGUAGGCGGCCUUCGCAAGUCAGUAGUGAAAGGCAAUGGCUCAACCAUUGUAAGCUAUUGAAACUGCAGGGCUUGAAUACAGGAGAGGUAAGUGGAAUUCCUAGUGUAGCGGUGAAAUGCGUAGAUAUUAGGAGGAACACCAGUGGCGAAGGCGACUUACUGGACUGUUAUUGACGCUGAGGCACGAAAGCGUGGGGAGCAAACAGGAUUAGAUACCCCGGUAGUC
rnacentral:rRNA from 1 species